UUCAAUCGACCGUCACCUGCACCAUAUAUAAGAGAUGAUUGGACUUCUCGUACAAGCAAAGAAUCCAUCUAGGCUCUCCUUACAAGAAAAAUACACCAAAUCACGCCCUAGAGGGUCAAGCAGCUCACGUGACCCAUCAGACAUCUUGUUCGAUCCCUCGCACGACCUUGCGCCAUCCAUCAAAGAGCUUGUCGAAUCCCUCGCGCAACCUCGCGCAAUCUAUCACAUAGUUGUGUGAUCCCUCGCGCCAAAUUUCU
rnacentral:lncRNA from 1 species